GGGACUGUACUCUCAUAGUGUCCCAUGCUAGAGCAAACUGGCUCCUAACCAUUGCCCAGCCUCUGUGCCUGUAGGCUGUUGGCACUGAAUUGGGUUGUACAGUG